rnacentral:lncRNA from 10 species
UCCUGCACUAAAUAUACCAACCAUUAUCUUCUGAAACUAUUCCCUUCCAGUGUCAAUGCCGUGGUGUUUAUAAAAUUCUUUCCCUCCCAGUUUAUUGGGUGAGGCAUACGUACCUGAAAAUAUAACAUCAGUCACAUCAACAAAAUGUAUGGCUCAGAUUUGCUUAUUCUAAAGUUUCAUGGGAUGAGAAGCUGAGAAGAUAGGAAGAGUGGAAGCUGAGAAAUGUAAAACAUACUAUCACAAAGAUAGUUAGUGUGUUCAAAUAUUCUACAUUUGCACCAGCAGUGGUAUUCUCUAGCAUUUAAUGUUUUCUAUUUCUUGAGUAUGUAAUGGUAUCAUUGUGGCUUCAAGUUGCAUGUCUCCAGUUACUAGGGAGGCACAGUAUCUUUUCAUUUUUUUGUUUCAUUCAGGUUUCCUCUUUCAAGAAAUAUUUGUAUGUAUAUUGAGUAUUCUUCUGUAUAAUUGUUUUUUUACUGAUUUGUAGA